UUCAACCCAGGCCAUUCUGUGAUUCAUUCUAUGAUUCAUUAUGAUUUUGGCCCUUGUCCCAGAUCUUUUCUUUCAGUGUCCACUUUCUUCUGUCAUAGAGGACAAUUGUUAACAUUUCAAGCCAAAGCUGCUCCAACCUGAAAAUACACACUCAUAGCAGAAACUGGUCUGGAAGGUGAACUAAGCAUGCCUAGUAUGUGAGGGAACAGGGCUGCCUUAGGAGCUGCUACCUACGGAUGACUGCAGGAGCAAGUAACUGAAAACAGGCUGAUGGGUUGGAACACUGAAAACGUGGGCCCUCUGAAGGGACAAGGAGUUCAGCCAACAUGUCCUGCUGUAGACAUACGGGCAUUAGCACUUUGAACUUCUCUCUCUCUCCAAGGUUUACUGCUGGAAGCCCAGACAGGAUGACAGGAUGGUCAGAUGCCUCUGUAUCAAGGUUUGGAAUAUGAUUCAAGGCCUGCGUCAGCACUGCUGCAAACUGGCAGGUUUGUGCUUGCACACCCAGAGGAAGCAGGCAGAGAGCACUAGCCCUAGAUUGACCUCUUCUACAGGAGUUUGGCAGAUACUGGGGUGCAGAAAUACCAGCAACUCAGAAUAAGUUCCUAUUUUAGAAGCUGCACUGUAGGUUCUCAAAAAUAACACUUCUACUUCCUGUUCAGUCACAACAUUACAGGCAUACAGUAAAGUUGGCAAACAAAAUGAGGAUUUAAGGGAAAUACAUCAGAGCUGUUGUAUUUUAUGACCCUAGACUUGCAUGUCUCACGUAUAUGCCACUAUCAAACCUAAAGUAAAGGCCACAUUUUGAUAACUUAAGCUUUGCAUCAUGUGUGAAAAAAAAGAGAUGUGUUAGUCUAGCAAACUUUGGGAAGUGCUGGGGGAAGGAAAGAUAUUUUCAACAAACUUCUCAAACAUUGUUCUCAAGCCAAAAACACUAAAAGAAUUCAGCUUCAUGUAGCUUGCAAUUUCAGUGCUCUGUUCUCUACACAUUCCUUCUUCUACUGGGAAGAGUCAAUCUCAGCAGACUCUUAAGUUUGUAGAUAAUUCAUUCAUUAAUUUGAAAACUGAGCUAGUCUGUACCAGAUUUAUGAAAUAAUACGAGUAUGAGUGUAUUUGUGCUUUGAACUCAGGAAUGAUCUUGUUGGCUGUCAGCCACAAAUGUUAUUGCCAGAGAAAUUUAAUUGUGUCUUGGGUUUGGUGCCUUCCUGAAAUCUCAGGUGUGCCCAGGGAUGGAAGAUUCUCACACAGCUGUUUAAAGUGAAAUUGUAGGAAAUCUUGGCAUCUGCAACAAGAUCAGCUGUGAAGCAUGCCUUCAAAAUGUCCUUGAAUUAUAUUUAUAUAAGCAUGUGCAGUAUAAGGGAAUAAAAGCAGUGAGUCAAGAAAAACAGUGAAUUGUACAAAUGAUUGUAGAUAGUUAAUUAAGUCGCCUAAAAUUUUGAUUUGAAUCCUCACACCCUAUCUUCACUGCCCAACAAGUCUAGCUGAAAUAAAUGAUGUUUGGAUCUAAAAUUCCUCCUAUUUGGUGCAGGUUGCUAGUAGUCCAGAAUUAUUCAAGGAAUCACAGAAUUGUUGAAUGGCUUGGUUUGGAAAGAACAAAAUCCCUUGCCAUGGGCAGUGUUUAAGUACCAUUGGACUUUUUUUUUUUUUUUUCCAUAUUAUUGUAGUUGCUAGAAUGGUACAAGACAGAGAUGAUAGGUACUGGAACCUGUGUAUUGUAUUACAUUGACACAGAAGGGGUUGACAUGUCUAUUAAUGUCUUUCAAACACAGAUUUUAUUGUUUAAAACAAUAUGAAUCAAUUUUUAGCUCUUUGCUUCAUGAUUUAAAAGUAUAAAACUCAAUAAAACAGUUGAAAUAUUAUACAUUCUGGAUUAUAG
rnacentral:lncRNA from 7 species